UACGGAGGGUGCGAGCGUUGUCCGGAAUCACUGGGUGUAAAGGGCGCGUAGGCGGCCCGGCAAGUCAGUGGUGAAAGUCCGGGGCUCAACCUCGGAUCGGCCGUGGCGACUCGUGGGCUGGAGCACUGUAGAGGCGGGUGGAAUUCCGGGUGUAGCGGUGGAAUGCGUAGAGAUCCGGAAGAACACCAGUGGCGAAGGCGGCCCGCUGGGCAGUGGCUGACGCUGAGGCGCGACAGCGUAGGGAGCAACAGG
rnacentral:rRNA from 1 species